rnacentral:pre_miRNA from 1 species
ACCUGCUCCCUGAGACCCUAACUUGUGAGCUCUCUUGAUGAAAAAUCACGGGUUAGGCUCUUGGGACGCGGG